UCCAAUAACGAUGCCCCCACCGGACGAUUGGAUUCCACCAUAUAAAGGCCCGUUCACGUCGCGGUCCAAGUACACUUUUGCCGAUAUGACCGACGGAACGAGCAACACAAUUAUGUUUGGUGAAGUGUUGGGUGACGUUGCUGGCAAUGGCAUUACGCCAACAAACAGAAGGGAUCUAGAACUCGCAUAUUGCUGGAUCGGAAUGGGUCCGAUGGUGAGUUACUGGAUGUACGAGCAACCUUUGUCCAUUCCUGGUUGGUGGCGAUGGAGUGCGCAGCAUCCAGGAGUAAUCCAGUAUGCGAUUUCGGAUGGAGCCGUUCGAUCCAUUUCUCACACGGUAGAUUACAACCAGUUUUGGAAUAUUGCUGGAAUGCAGGAUA
rnacentral:misc_RNA from 1 species